UAUAAGUGGUACAACAUACAUGUUUCUAACUUGGUCAGGUGCGGAAGCAAGCAGCCAUACGAGCCUCUGUUUGUGUGUACCAUUUUUAUUA
rnacentral:SRP_RNA from 1 species